UCACCGGUAGCCUAUUGGUUAGAGCGUCCGCCUCGGAUGCGGGAUGACGUGGGUUCGAAUCACCGGCCUAAUCAU